rnacentral:rRNA from 1 species
UACGUAGGGUGCAAGCGUUGUCCGGAAUUAUUGGGCGUAAAGAGCUCGUAGGCGGUUUGUCGCGUCUGCUGUGAAAACUCGGGGCUCAACUCCGAGCUUGCAGUGGGUACGGGCAGACUAGAGUGCGGUAGGGGAGACUGGAAUUCCUGGUGUAGCGGUGGAAUGCGCAGAUAUCAGGAGGAACACCGGUGGCGAAGGCGGUUCUCUGGGAAUGACCUGACGCUGAGGAGCGAAAGUGUGGGGAGCGAACAGG